AGACUGGAAAAGUGUGUGAGAAAAGAAUUCCAUUAACAUCCUAGCAUGGAAUCACUCUUUCGUGACCAGGAUUGCAGCCAAGUGAAGCUGAUCGUGUCAAGGACCCGGAUCCUGUCCAGGAGAAGGAGUACAGCUGCCAGGAUCGCUGAUGAGAGCUGAAACGGACCCUACGGUGCCGCGCGUGUGUUGGAUCAGCCUUUGUUCAGUUCGCAGUCACCAGCUGAGGCAGAGCAGACCCGGGUCGGUGAGACAGAGCGUGCCUAAAUACUUGAGACUGAGAUCAAACCUGCCGGUAGUUAGUUAGUGUUGCUGAGGCUAGCAAGAAUUGCUGUUUGUUUAUCCCAAAGACUUAUCAGUCAAAGUUUUAGAACCGGAGAACAGAGAGGACUUCACCAUAAUCACUGUAUAGGCCGCCAAUGACAAAACAUG